rnacentral:lncRNA from 1 species
AAUGACCAGGAGUGAAUCAAAAUGGAUCUGAUGCGAAGCACAAACUCAAAAAUAGAUUGAGUAUCUUUCUUGAUCAUUUUCAGUUCAACACGCAGUUGAUGCACCUUUGCCUUCAUUUGUGCAUUGCAGUGCUUGUGCACCUUAUCACAUACCUCAUAUACAUGUUUGCAUGAAAGUAAUUGAGGUAACACCGAUUCUGAAAUUUUAGUCAAUAACCACGUGAAAAGUGUUUGAU